GUCCAACCUCCCUGCUCAAGCAGGGUCACCUAGACCGAGUCCAAGAUUUUAUUACACUAUGACAUCAUUACACCAUGCCACAGAGAGCUGCUGACACAAGGAGCCCAGGGCUUUCCUGGAAGGUACUGGAUGAUUCCCACUGACAUCAGUGUAGCCAGAUCAUGUGUUUGCUUUUUAAGGCCACAAGCAAUCGUUAUUGACAUCUAGGCUGAUAUCAAGCAUCGUUCAGGUCAGUGGAAGUAAACCAAAUGCAUAUCAAAUUAGCAUCUGUGUGUACCAACAAACCCAUGGCAGAAGAAAAGAGAUUUGGUUUGCAUUUCAAAGCAUUCUUUUGAUCUAGAAGAGGGC